rnacentral:lncRNA from 1 species
UCCAGCCCUCAGUCUCCUCUCAGACAGAGGAGUGUGCACAUAGAGCGCCGACAGGGAACAGAGCCGUAAGGUGGGGUGUCCUCAACUUCAGAAACUGCACUCACAGCAGCCACACCACCCGCUGGACACCAUGCUGGCAGAGGAGUGACCGCAGCCCAAGGUGGCUUUGAUCGGCCGUGAAGCGCAGAGCCAGGAUGGGCACCAAGGAGAGGUGCUGAGGACAAACAGGUAACGGAUUAUAACCAUGAGUCAGAAGAGGCGACGAGGCAGCAUGGUGUUCAGGUGGCACAAGUCCCUGGCCAUCCUUGUCCCCUGGAAGAAAGGGAAAGGGGACAUGGUGCUGGACAGUGAAGUGGUCCUCACCAAGAUGAAGCUCUUUGACAACUUUCAUGGGAGACUCUGUGGUGCUGAGGAUUCUGUCUCAACCAUAUCUAUAUCAGUCUCAGAGCAGGAUCUGUCCGAACCUGGCCAAGUUUCAGAUGGGGAUCCAAACCUUUGCCCUUCUGAACAAGCACCAUCCGACCCAAAACCUGACUAUCUGUCUGUCUUCUCGGACCCUCAGCUGCCCAGGCUGUACAAGUUUGAGUCUGAGGACUCUGGAGUGGAGAUGCCCAGUGGAGCAGACUCCCCAUCCACCCCCACAGGCUCAGAGCAGAGCUUUGUCGUUCACAGCCGGGCACCAUCCCGUGAUUCCCAGGACCUGGGCACCGAUGUUGCAGCCCCAGGUCCUAUCCUUCAGACUGAAAAGUGUCCUGCAACUGAGGAGACGAAAACACCACUUCACCCAGUAACAAAAGAGGAGGGUAAUGACUUUGGCACCCUUGAGACCAAGACAAACUUGGAGGUUAUGCAGGUGCACAUUUCCCCGAUGGAGGAGAACAUGACGAUGAAAGGACCUCAGGAUGGGCUCUUGGAGGACACCUCUGAGGACUGUGAGAACUCUAUAGUGAUGAAAGUAGCCACAGAGGAGCUGGCUGAGCAGAGCACAACAAUAAGGAACUGUAACUCCACUGAGGCUCUCAACAUGACAGAGGCAGAUCUCCAGCCACAGCCCCUGAGGAAGAGUACAACAAGUGACAGUCUUGAUGAGUACAUGGAGGAAUGCUGCAGAUUGAGUGAGGUGCACAGAGCAAAGAUCAAUCCCCUGGGUCCCAGCCUGGGCUACCUGGAACACAUCUGCCAGCUCAUUGAGAAGAUUGGGCAACUGCAGGAACACAACCUAAGGCUCCAGAGGCAGCUCAGCAGCCUUCAGAAGGAAAACAGGACCAAGAACACCAAGGAGGAGUUCUUCCUCCAGCAGUGCUGCUGUGGUGCUGCCAGCCUGACUUUCCAGGAGACAAAACUGCACUCCAGGAGUGAUUUCAGCAGCUUGACAGCUUCCAACAGUGCCCUGUCCGACUUGUCCACAAUCCCAGAAGUCACACAGCAGACUGGAAAGGCAGCCGCAACAGAGGGCGAAAGUAGAUGGUACCCACUAGUAUCCUUGAGGAGGAAGGCACUGAACAGGAGGAGCUACACAGAAGGGGAGUCCAGGUACCUAUGUGAGAGCAGUGAAGGAUUCUCUGCUACCUACAGGCGGCUGAGUGAAAUUCAGCACCCAUGGGUCAGAAUGAAAGAGUUGGUGAAGAAGACUAGGUUGAGGAACCAGAGCUCCUGCUCACUGAAGAGCUCAUGCCCACAACUAUACCGGCCUGACCUGGGACCGGUGGAGCUUCCCAGGAGAGACAGGAAUUCAAUGAUUGCGCUGGGCCAUCAAACCAAAUUGGAUUUCCUCUGGCAGCAGUAGUGUCAAACAGUCAGAAGAUGUCCCGCGUCGUGACAGGGAAGGUCCUGGAGGAGGAGAUAAAGCCAGUGUGCACAGAAAGUGGACCUAAAUGUGAGGAAAGGGAAGAUGAGGAGAAAACAGCUAAAGUUGGUUAACGCAGAGCCAAACAUGACAAGGAAGAAAGUUGUUAAAGAAAGAACAUGUAAACUAAUGGAUUUAUUGUUUUGGGUCAACAUGGAGAUUUUGGUUUGUUCCAAAUUUCUGAACAAAAUACAUUUAUAGUUUUUGUACACAGUAGAAAUAAUUCAUCUGUUACACCGGUGUUUAAUAUAGACUGCAAGUAUUUCAGAAACACUCUGGAAUCCUGUACAGAGGCCUACAAUACUCCGUACCUUCAUAUGAAAUAUGAAAUGAAAUGUAUUUCUUUCAUUAAGACCACAUUUUGCUAUUUGCUGCACCAAAGAAAGAGCCAUAGACAAGUAACUUUUCUUCUUCUGAGCCAUUAACUUUACUUAUUUAAAAGUGUAUUACAGUACCUUAAAUAGACAAAGCCAUAUAACCAAGUGUAUAAGUGAAAUCACUCCUUCCAAGUCCGUCCAUCAUAUGGUCCAAAUAUCAGAAAUUUCUUUGGCUAACAGUUUCUGACUGGCAUCGCGAUACCCCCACCUGUUUUUGGUUAGACAUGUGUGCUUCUGAUGUAGUCCAGUCCUGCAGUUCUGACACAUUUGAUGUUUAUGUUGCCUCAUUUUUCAUAAAGACUAACUCUAAAGUAUAAUAAAAGGGUGCCUGUCGGACA